AACUCUCGGCAAUGGAUAUCUCAGCUCUCGCAUCGAUGAAGAAGGUAGCGAAAUGCGAUACUUGGUGUGAAUUGCAGAAUCCCGUGAACCAUCGAUUCUUUAAAUACAAGUUGUGCCCGAAGCCAUUAGGCCGAGGGCACGUCUGCCUGGGCGUCA
rnacentral:rRNA from 2 species